AACACCACCUGCCAACAUUCAGCCUCCUCUGCCCAUCAGCCUUGCUGACACAGGGAGUGGAGAUUUGUGUAGAGAAAUGACUCAUUCAAAUAUGACUUAAUCUAAACCGUAAGUGUAUGAUUUAUUAAUGUGCCACCAGGCCUUACACCAAGAGAGCCAUUCCAGAGAAAAGUCCUUUUUCUCCUGAGAACAGUGCCAGCAGCUGGCUUCGUGACAUUCUGGAAGCCCCGUGCAAUGCUGUCAGGAGCAUAGGGAUUUUACUUUAUCUCCCUUGCUUAUGCUCCACAUAACUGAAAUAUCUCACUGGAAGCUGCAGCAGUGCUGGCCCCUUGCACAGCCAUAUGUGACCACUGCAGAACAAUCAGUUGGAGAGACAGUUUGGACUACAUGGAGGGUGGAGAUAAGGACAAAGUGAAGAAUACACAGGAACCAGUGCCUCCUCCUGGAACUAUGCAACUCCAAGCUGCUUCCAUCAGCUGCUAGGUCCAGUAGGGAGGGACCUACUGAGAGAAGGUGCCUGCUUCCCUUUCCGCUGUGAUUGUACUCAGACCCAGAACAUACUGUUUUCACUCCAAGAGUCUGAAUGUCUCUUUUCUGAGAAAGAUGAAGAAAAAGUACUUUUUUCAUGAAUUUAAUACUCAUUAAAGUCAAUAGUCGGAAAGCCUGGCUAAUUAGCAGACUUCUUCAGAGGACUUUAAAUAAUAUAGUUACUGUAUUUUUAUUAUAUUGAAAUCUCCAAAUAUAUAAAGUUAGAAUCUUCAAGGUGGGAGGAAGAGGAGAAAUUGGAUUUCUCUAAGCUCCCUAGUGAUUCUGAUGAUGACUCAUUUGGGGAAGUGCAGCAUUGAAUGGCCCUUCUAAAAUGAGGACAGCUAUUUUUUGGACUAAGCACCCCUCCCGACUCUCCCCAUUCCUCAUCCUCUCAGAGACUUCUCUCUCUCAGAUUGCCCCAUCUGUCUCAUGUAUUAUAAUCACUUCCCCUCUACUGGUUUCUUCUCAUACGUUUAACUUGUUCAAGUGCCUUCCAUCUUUAAAAACAGUCAAGGCACAGCCCUUGAUUUAACCAUAGGAAGCCCGCUCCCCACCACCCUGCCAUCAGCUCUCUUCUUCCUGUGUAGUGAGCACUGCUUCUUUGAGCUUCUGAAAGCUGUAGUCACUGCCUCUUGCUGGUAACUGAAAGCACAUUUCUAAGUUCGCAUAUUCCCUGACUUCUUGACAGCACUCAUGACUCGCCAUCUCCUUUUCUGGAACACUGUUUGCUUGGCUUUCACAAUAUCAUGCUUUUCUAGUUCUUUUUCCUGUUUUGGACACUGCUUUACAGAGAAUUAACAUUCCUCUUUUUCCCGCUGACCCUGAAUCAAGAAAGAAUCAUGUUUCUUUCUUUAUUUUUUAUAUCUUAACUUUUGAGGGGUAGAUUUUCAAGCAUACAUAAAAGUGAAGAGAACAGGAUAAUGAACUAGGUGUACACAUGACUGCAUCUUAUCAGUGCAAUACACACUCAUAUUACUUUUUCUAUACUUCAUCCAUUUUCUCCCUGCUCCCUGACUUGGAUCAAAUCCCAGACAUUACAUUAUUUAACCUGCAAAUAUUUCAUCAUAUAUAUGUGGGAAUAUAUAGAUCUCUAUCACUAUAUAUAGUGAGAAUUUCUUUCAAAGAAAAGAUAAUCACAAUAUUAUAAUCUCAUCAAAUGUAGUUGUUAUAAUUCCUUAAUGUCAGUCUAAUAACAAUCCUGUUUUCACAAUUUCUUCUCUUGUAGAUUUUUAAAAAUUAAUUUUGUUGAAUUGAAAUCUAAAUAAGAUACAGAGAUAAAGAUUCAUUGACAUGUCCCUUAAGUAUUUUAGUUUAUAGGCUGUCCUACUAUAUUCCCUGCCUCUUCUUGCAUUUUAUCUUGAUUCAGUUGAAAACUCUGGGUCAUUUGUCUUAUAAAGUUCAUGGGGUCUGCAAUUUGGUGAAGGUGUCCUUUUGGCAUUAUUUAACAUGCGUCUCUGUUCCUUGUAUUUUCUAGAAAUUAUUGGUUAUAUCUAGAGGUUUGAUCAGAUUUAGGUGAAAUUAUAAAAAGAUUCCGUCAUAGGUGAUUUUGUGAAGUUCCAUCAGAAGGUACCCAUCUGGUUUUCUCUCCUUUUGUGAUGCUAGCAGCCACUGAAUAUGGUAAUCUACUCCAAUCAUUAACUAAAUUUCUUUUCUGGAAUUAUUCCAAAAGAGAAACUUUUUUCAUCAUGCAUUUGGUUGUCCUGAGGUAUGAUUGUAUAGGAAAAACAGGAUAACCUACUGAUACUUUCUGUUUAAACUAGUAUUCAAAAUAAUAAAAGUAGUCCCCUAGUAUUAUCUAAAGAUUUCAAAAGACUUUUAAAAAAAUUAUUGAUGAUUUUAUGAGCUCAGGGAUUAAACAUAGUCAAUCUGUUUCAAUCCCUUGCAGUUAUUCCAAUUAAUAAUCAAAUUUUCCUGCCUUUGGCUUGCGGCAGCGUAUUCAUGUUGAAUUCUGGGUCACUUUGACAUGACUCCAGUUGUCUUUGAUGGUAUCCUUUUUGUGACAAAAUGUCCCAGGAUUAUAAUUUCCUGUCCCAUACUGGGAAACAGCCAGUUCUCCAAAGAGCUCUGGAACCAUUCAGUGAGAAAUGUAUUUAGAUGCAACAUUCUGGGUGCUAAGCAUGCCCAUUAACCUGAUCAAUCUCACGUCUUUCCUUUCUUUCAGCAUUGCCAGAAAACUCAUUUCUCAGUGACACCAUUGUAAUUACUCAUUUGAUUAUCCCGCAAUACACAUAUAAGAGUCUCAGGAAAACAGUACCAUCAGCAUUAUAUGGUAAUAUCUACAAGCACUUUAAUAUUUUCUUAUUGGGGGUACACUUUUUUCCAUAGAGAAUAUUUUACUAGGUAAGAACAAUAAUAUUGAUAUGUUUUAAUUUUUCUUGAAGUGGUUCUUCUGUAUGAGGUUAUAUCACCAAGUAGAUAUACAGUUAUAAUGUUUGAUUAUUACACAUUGCUUUUCUUAAAAUUUAAUUUUGUUUUAAAGCUAUUAAAAUCAGGUUUCUUAAAGAAAGAUCCUCAUUCUAUCUGGAUCAAAAUCACUUUCAGAGCUAAUUAAAAAUGUGGUGUCCUGGACUCACGAAGCCAGAAUUGCUGAGGAGAUAGCCCGAGAAUCUGAAUUUUUAGCAGACAUUUUUUUAGGUACCUUACCCGCAGGAUCAUUUCUGUGAAUAUCCAUGAGGUGAAAAAGUCUGGGAAACACUGUCCUAGGGUGUGGGGAAGAGCGAGAAAAAGAUUUCCGCUCUGGAAGGUAAACAAAUACUCUCUGGAGAGAGAAGAGGAAUGUCCCUAGCAGAUGUCUCCAGAGAAGACAAGACUUUAAAUUCCGCCAGGGAAAUAUACAAUGUCUAACUUCUAAGGCACAUUUGCCAUUCAAUCAUGCUUUAACCCACGUUGCCAGAAAUUUUUGCUCACUAGGUUUUGACUGUACAGGAAUGUGAAAAUAUUCAUGAAGAGUUGUUUUCCAAUGCUAAAGAAUUGAUGUGUUUUAACAGUUGAAUUAAUUGUAUUGAUUAUGAUCACACCUACUUUUUAUAUAUCUUCAUUUCUAACGUUUCUGUACAAUCCUGCCUUUCCACCUGAUAUAGUUAGGCCUUGUGUCAUCAACCAAAUCUCAUCUUGAAUUGUAAUCGCCAUAAUCCCCACGUAUUUAGGGAGAGACCUGGAGGGAGGUGUUUGGAUCAUGGGGGCGGUUUCCCGCAUGCUGUUCUCAUGACCAUGAGAGUAAGUUCUCAAGAGAUCUGAUGGUUUUAUAAGCGUCUGUCAUUUCCACUGCUUGCACUUCUGUGUCCUGCCACCUUGUGAAGAAGGACGUGGUUGCUUCCCCUUCCACCAUGAUUGUGUUUCCUGAGGCCUCCCCAGCCUUGCAGAGCUGUGAGUCAAUUAAACCUCUUUCCUUUAUAAAUUACUCAGUCUCUGUAUUCCUCUGCAGCAGUGUGAGAACAGACUAAUACAUCACCACUUUAUUUACUUUACUCUCUCCCCAUACCGAGGUUUUCUACAUUUUCUUUCUAGGUCUCUACAGUUUCUGCAAAGAUCCUUUAUGGAACUCUUAGGGAAGCUGGGAUGUAUAAUAAAUAAAGGGCUCUUUUCUUUGAGUCCCACACCCAUUUUCUGUGUAUAAAAAUCUUCAACUCCACUUUUGUCUGUUCUAUUUAAAUGUGUGCACAUUUCCUUCUAAUGUUGUAUAUGAAAAAGAGACACCUCUUAGCAGUCUUUCAUAGAGCAAAAUUUUUUACUUUGAUAAAAUCUAAUUUAUCAAUAUUUUUAAAUUUUAUGGAUCAAUCAUGCUUUUGAGGUUGAAUUUAAGAAUGCUUUGCCUAGCCCUAGAUCCCAAGUAUCUUUUAAAAAUUAUUUUUCUAAAUGCAUUAUUUAUGUUUUACACUUAAGUCUAUAAUCCAUUUUGAGUCCAUGUGUAAGAUUUAGGUUAAGGUCAAGAUUUAUCUGUUUUUGUUGUUUUCUCUAUAAAUGUCAAUUGCUCCAGCACUAUUUGUUUAAAAGCCAAUCUUUCCUCCGCUGAGUUCUUCCUAUAAGUUUGUCAAAAGUCAAUUUGGCAUCUUUGUAUAAGUUUAUUUCUGGAUUCUCUAUUCUGUUUUAUUGAUCACUGCAUCUAUCCCUCUUGAUUAGCUAGAUAAUAAAUCCUACAAUAAGGUAGAAUUCUUCCCACUUUAUUCAUAUUCAAAAUAUUUUAAAGCUAUUCUAGUUUCUUUUUAUUUCCAUAUAUAUUUUAGGAUAAUCUUAUCUAUAUUUACAACAUAUGUUGCUAGGAUUUUGAUAGAAUUUGUUUUAAAUUUGUGUAUCAAUGUAGGGAAGACCUGACAUCUUUACUAUUACGUUGAUCUUCCAAUCAAUGAAUAUGGUAUAUCUCUCAGUUUAUAGCUAUUGUCUUUAAUUUAUUUCAUCAUGGUUUUUAGUUUUCAGCAGAGAAGCUUUAUACAUGUUUUGUUAUACAUGUAUAACAAAAGAAGCCUUAUACACUGACAUUUUAUAUUUUGAACAAUUGUAAAUGGUAUUGUUUAAAAAUUUUGUUGUCUAUGAUAGAAAUAAAAUUGAUUUUUGUAGGUUUAUCUUGUAACCUAUGACUUGCUGAGCUCGCUCAUUAGUUUUUUUAUUGUGAUAAAAUAUACAUGAGAUAAAUUUCAUCAUUAUAAUCAUUAAGUUUAGACAUCAAUUGCAUUAAGUACAUAAAUGCCUUAUGCAACCAUCAUCUCUAUCCAUCUCCAGACCCUUUGCAUCACCCUAAAAUGAAACUCUGUGCCCAUUAAACAAUAACUCCCCAUUCUGCCCUCACCCCAGCCCUUGGUAAUUACCAUCCUACCUUUUAUCUCUAUAAAUUUAACCAUCCCAGGUAACUCAUAUAAGUGGAAUCAUGCAGUGUUUGUCCUUUUGUAACUGGUUUAUUUCACUUAGCAUGAUGUCUUCAAGGUUUGCCUAUGUCAUAGCAUGUGUCAGAAUUUCAUCCCUUUUUAAACUUAAAUAAUAUUCCACUGUAGGCAUAUGCCACAUUUUGUUUAUUUGUUCAUCUGUUGAUGGGCAUUUGGGUUGUUUCCACCUUUUGGCUACUGUGAAUAAUGCUGCUGUGAUCAUGGGUAUGCAACUGUCUCCUGGAGUCCCUGCUAUCAAUUCUUGUGGGUAUAUACCCAGAAGUGGAAUUGUUGCAACAUAUAGUAAUUCUAUGUUUAAUUUUUUGAGGACCUGCCAUAAUGUUUUCCACAGUAGCUACAUUGUCUUAUAUUCCCAUUAAGAGUUCCAAUUUCCUCACAUCUUCACCAAUACUUAUUGUUUUCUGUUUUUUUAAAUAAUAGCCAUCAUAAUAAAAGUAACAUGGUAUCUCAUUGUGGUUUUAACUGCAUUUCCCUUUUUACUGGAUUGUUUGUAAUAUUGCUGUAAUUGAGUUGUAGGAGUUUUUAAAUAUGUUCUGAAUAAUUAAUUUCUUAUCAGAUAUGUCAUUUGCAAAUAUUUUCUGCCAUUCUCUGGGUUGUCAUUUCACUCUCUUGAUAGUGUCCUUUGAUGCACAGAAGUUUUGAAAUUUGAUAAAGUUUAAUUUGCGUAUGUAUUUAUUUUGUUGCUUAUGCUUUUGGUGUCAUAUCCAAGAAAUUAUUGCCAAAUUCAGUGUCAUGAAGAUUUUCCCCUGUGUUUUCCUCUAAGAGUAUUAUAGUUUUAACUCUUGCACUUAGAUUGAUCCGCUUUGAGUUAAUUUUAGUAUAUGGGGUAAGACAAGGGCUCAAAUUUGUUCUUUUGUUUGAAGAUUCUAGGUCAUUUGUGAUCUUUAGGAUUUUCUAUGUAGACAUUAAUGUCAUCUUCAAAUAUGAACAGUUUAUUUCUUCCUUUUGUAUAUGUAUGAAUUUACUUUCCUUUUCUUGCCUUAUUGCACUGGCUAGAGUUUUCAGUACUAUGAUGAAUAAAAUCAGUGAGAGCAGACACCCUUGCUUUGUUUCUAAUCUUAGGAGGAAAGCUUUCAGUCUUUCAUCAUUAGGUAUACUGUUAGUUGUAGGCUUAUUAUAGAUGCUCUUUAUCAGGUUGAGGCAGUUUCCUCCUUGGUUAAGACUUUCUAUUUUUCAUUUUCAGUUAUGACCAGGCAUGUUCAUAACUGCUCAUCAAAACUUUGAAUUAGUGGCUGCUUUAACAUCCUUCUCAGACAAUUCUAACAUCUGUUUUGUUGGUGGUGGCAUCUAUCAAUUGUCUUUUUCAUUCUGUUUGAGAUCUUCCUUGCGUUUGGUAUGAUUUUUUUAAAUAUUAUGUCAUGAAACUGCAUCUUAUUUAAAUCUUCUGUUUUAGUUGGCUAUGUCUGACAUCACUUCCCCAGGGGAAGGUGUUGUUACUGCUAGUGGAGGGUGAGAAUUAUGGCUCUCCACUGACAUUGUGGUGGGAUUGGUCCCAUUACCACUGGGCAGGGUUGAAAGUCCUGACUUUCUGCUAGGCCUUCUCUGACUUCAUCGCAGCAGGAGGAAAAGAUGCCUCUGGAGUUGAAGUCAGGUUGCACUGACACUGUGUGUGUAUGGAGGUAGGCUGGGGUGAAAGUGGAGACUCAUUACCACAUGGUGAGUAGUUUCCAGCUCUCUAUUUGGCCUUCUCUGAUACCACCCAGACAGGGACAUUGGGGAUACCUCAUUACAGCCUAGUGAGGGUCAAACUCUAGGCUCCCCACUCAGUCUUUGCUAUCAUGGACACUGUAGGACCAUAGUUUUUUCUGUGCUGUUUGCUUGAUGUGUCUUCCUUGGACCCUGAGUUCCAUAGCUGGUCUGCAUUCCUCUCUCCACCUUUAAGACGUCUUCUUAUGUUUAUUUCAUAUUUAACAUCCAGGGUGGUAAUUAGAGGGAAGAAUAGAGGGAAAAGUACAGUUGCACUUUGUUGUUCAAAGAGCAGUUUUGAACUGCACAGACCCAUUUCUCUGAGCACACCCAGGGAUGAUUGUACUUGUAUAAAAUUUUUUUCCUGGAUGCAGAAUUCUCAAUUGACUGUGAAAGUUCAUAACAAAGAAAACAGUGGGGAAGACAAAUCUGGAAAUGAGGAAAAUAAAAAUUAAAUAGUGAGACCACCCAUGGAGCUUGUGGCAAAGCCUGAAUUGAAUCCGCUGUAUCUUAAGAUUGUGCCUCAUUCUAAAUUUAAGUCACCCUUCUCAUUAUGAAAGUGUCACAACUUCUCAGUAGGUGAGGAGACAGUCUAAAUUUGAGAAAAGAAAGUUACAACAAAGGUUUUGAGCAAGCUGCUAAGUGGAUUUAUUCAUGUUUGAGAAAUCAAAUAUAUGGUUAAUGAGCUCUUUAACUAGAAGCCAACACUAGGGAGGAGUAGACAGAAGUCACGGGGAGGGAGCCCCCGGACAUUUCAAAAGACUUUGCCCUGCAACAUCUCCUCCACAUUUAAGCUUUUAGGUUAUUGUAGCCACAUCACAAGCAUGUUACCUACCCAGAUAUUGUCUGCGCAUCAUUCCCAAAAGCUUCCCUGGGUCUUCAUAAUAUUAAUGAGAUUCUCCCCCAGGUUAGACCCCUUUGGCUUGAGUCAGAAACAGAAUUAAUCCGGGGGACAAUCCAGCAGCACCCAUCUCUGGGUUGCAGAAAUAUCUGAGGUGACCAGGCAGUGUUUGGAGUCCCCUCAGUUAGCUAACAAAGUGAGUUCACAGCUUCCAAGACCCCAGGCUUUCCAGGCUAAUAAAGAGCUGAGGUUAUAGGCUCUCCUUAUCAAACGCUCUUUGGCAGCUGCCAUAACCAUUCCAAGUCUAGUCCUAGAAUAGAAAUGACGCGGUUUCAGGAGCUGACAGAUGGAACUUUAAGCCUUCCUUCCUGCCACAUCUGAAGUUCUUUUUUAAAAAAAUAGAAAACCAUGACAAUAAACACUCCUUGAAUGCCCUGUGGAAAAGUGUACUCCUCAGAAUUCACUAAAGUGGGGUGAAGCAGUGGGUUGUGGUGCUGAGAAAACAUCUCUUCCCCUCGGCAGUAUAUUGGAAUCUCAUAGAAACUUCUGUGGCUGGGAAGCAAACAUGCUCUCUGCCCCAUUGCUCUUAUUCAUCUUUAGACCUGAUAAUACAGUUUGAACUUCAAGUUGCACUUUAAAUGGCAUGCAUUUUUA
rnacentral:lncRNA from 10 species